rnacentral:tRNA from 1 species
GCUGCCGUAGCUCAAGGGCAGAGCCCCCGGUACCCCUUACGGGAGAUGCGUGUUCAAGUCGCGCCGGCAGCA